rnacentral:tRNA from 1 species
GUUUCUGUAGUGUAGUGUAGUGGUCAUUACGUGCGCUUCAUACGCGCAAGGUCCCCAGUUCGACCCUGGGCGGCAACA